rnacentral:ncRNA from 20 species
ACCUUUGUUGUCAUAUACGGUUCUGAAAUAAAAUCGGAUGAAAAGGGAAUCAGGUGCAAGUCCUGAACUAUCCCCGUAGCUGUAAAUUUCAAGAAAAAGUUAGGCUCUCACGCCACUGAUCAACAGACAACUGAAUAUUGGGAAGGCGCCUAGCAGAGAAAUGAGUCAGAAGACCUGCCGUGUAUACAUUCGUAGCU